rnacentral:rRNA from 1 species
UCCUUAUUUUUCAAGCGUUGUCCGGAAUUAUUGGGCGUAAAGAGCUCGUAGGCGGUCUGUUGCGUCGGCUGUGAAAACCCGGGGCUCAACUCCGGGCCUGCAGCCGAUACGGGCAGACUAGAGUUCGGCAGGGGAGACUGGAAUUCCUGGUGUAGCGGUGAAAUGCGCAGAUAUCAGGAGGAACACCGGUGGCGAAGGCGGGUCUCUGGGCCGAUACUGACGCUGAGGAGCGAAAGCGUGGGGAGCGAACAGG